rnacentral:lncRNA from 1 species
GGUUCGACGAGGUGCGCGGCGUGGAGGUGGCGUGGAACCAGGCCAACCUCGCCGACGUCCUCCGCACCCCGGACGCCCUGCAGCGCAUGUACUCGGAGGUCCACCUCCUCAGCACGCUCCGCCACGACUCCAUCAUCGCCUUCCACGCCUCGUGGGUCUCCGUCUCCUCCCCCUCCCCGCGCGCCGGCUGCGCCCCCCGCCGCACCUUCAACUUCAUCACCGAGCUCUUCUCCUCCGGCACCCUGCGCGCGUAUCGCCUCCGUUACCCGCGCGUCAGCCUCCGCGCCGUCCGCGGCUGGGCGCGCCAGAUCCUCCGGGGCCUCGCCUACCUC